rnacentral:rRNA from 1 species
CCUACGGGGGGCAGCAGUGGGGAAUAUUGCACAAUGGGGGAAACCCUGAUGCAGCGACGCCGCGUGAAGGAAGAAGUAUUUCGGUAUGUAAACUUCUAUCAGCAGGGAAGAAAAUGACGGUACCUGACUAAGAAGCCCCGGCUAACUACGUGCCAGCAGCCGCGGUAAUACGUAGGGGGCAAGCGUUAUCCGGAUUUACUGGGUGUAAAGGGAGCGUAGUCGGGUUAGCAAGUCAGAAGUGAAAGCCCGGGGCUCAACCCCGGGACUGCUUUUGAAACUGUUGGACGAGAUUGCAGGAGAGGUAAGUGGAAUUCCUAGUGUAGCGGUGAAAUGCGUAGAUAUUAGGAGGAACACCAGUGGCGAAGGCGGCUUGCUGGACUGUAAAUGACGCUGAGGCUCGAAAGCGUGGGGAGCAAACAGGAUUAGAUACCCCUGUAGUC